GCACGCGCCGUGCUCGGUGGUGCUCGUUUCGCAACAUUCUCUGGUCAUCUUUCAUCGACUUCGCCGCUCGCCCUUCGCCCCCAGCGCUGCCCCCGUCGGGGAGUUUAUCGCGCCGGACGCUCAGGGCGACUUAGAGCUGCGUUUUACAUUAUAACGAAAAAAACUCCGCACGAAAUCGAGAUCCGUUUAGAAUGCGAGAGGGAGACUCCAUCCCUUCGAUUUUCAACCCCCGUCGACCCCGAACCCCUAGCGUGGUGGUCACUACCGAGGAUGGGGAAGCUGCCCCGGUGCCAUCAACACCGGUGACCAACGGCCCCUUCACCAGCAUUCAAAAACAUCCGCGGCAGCAAGACUCGACUGAACAAGCACCUUCGGAACCAGACACAAGUGCUCUACAGCCGAUAAAACACUCUUCCAUUUGGAGCAAGUGCAAAAAACUCAGUGAUUCGUGCAUUUCGCUCGCAGCAAGAAAGGUUUACUGCGGAAUUUUUAUCACAGUCGUCGUAACCUGCUGCUGGGUGGGCACAACGCACUCGCUGAAGCUGCUCUACAGACACCGCAGUGCCGCUAACUCUUCCUCGCCCCCGCAGCCCCUCUUUUACAACCUCACCACCCUGAGCAGCAUUCAAAAUAGCACGUCCCUUAAAUCUGGUGAAGCCGUCAGUUUGAGAACGAUGCAUUACGACGCGCCAUUCUGCACAGCUUGGUUUUUGACCAACUGGAACAUCCUAUUUUUACCUUUCUACCUGAUCUUCCGAAUGCCUGGAUCAAGGUGUUCAAACCCGUCAAAGAUCAUCGCAGAGGCAAUCAGGCCGUUCAGAGAAAAGGGAUUCACUUUCGCCCGUUUUUUCGUUCGCCUGAUGUUUGUGACCGGUCUUUGGCUGUCGACCUUUUACUGUUUGGUGCUUUCCAUGCGCACCCUCUACGCGACUGACUCAAUAGCACUUUUUGCCACCACUGUGUCUUUCGCCUAUCUAUUGUACUGGGUCAUCCUCCACGAGCAAUUUGUUGGCAUACGAAUUGUAGCUGUCAUCUUAUGUGACACGGGAAUCGCCUUGCUCGCGUAUAUGGAUGGAAUAACCGACAGUCCCACGCUUGGGGGAGUUGUACUGGCUGUGACCGCUGCGACUUCAUUUGCAGUUUUCAAGGUUAUGUUUAGGAAGUUAGUCGGUCCCAACGCGACUAAGGGCCAAAUUGCGUUGUGCCACUCGGCGCUCGGCCUCAUGAACGCGAUGCUUUUGUGGCCGGUUGCGCUUGGACUUUUCCUGUCCGGUUCUGAAUCGGUUCCCUGGCCGGAUUUGCCUUGGAUAACCCUCCUCGCGGCUUCUGUUCUCCUGCUUGCUACAAAUCUGAUAAACAAUUUCGGAAUAGCGUACACGUACGAGAUUUUCAUCACCAUGGGUUUGAUAACAGCAGUUCCUCUCUCUGGUGCUGUGGACAUUUUGCUAUACCACGCGACAUUCGCUGGAAUGAAGUUGUCAGGCAUGAUUUUGAUAGCUAUUGGCUUCUUUCUGGUAUUCUUCCCGGACAACUGGCCCGAUUACAUCACCAGACUACUCAGAAAUGUAAUUCUGCUAAGUCAUAGCGCUAGGGCUAAGGCUGGAGGGAGGCGAAAAGAUGCCAGCAUCUCGCAAAAUUUGAACCAUUACUGAUGAGCUAUCGGGCUUGCGAGGCUGCUUUCCUCUCUAAAAAUAAUUCCAAAGUGGAGCCGACGCCACCGCAACGGCGCCUUAACCGGACAGCGGCGCGACAUUGUCGACUACCGCACCGGAUACAUUCGGUCGCACUUGCGGUCGCCCUCGGGCCGAGUGCGGUGACCCACGCUUGACGGGGGCAGCAUAAGUGGCAACGAGGCAUGGGACUCUGACCAUGACCAGUAGGCCCGACUAGGCCCCCUGGACGCGAUUGGUCGGCUUUGAGCGAGACAAGUUACAAUAUACAACGAAAACCUUUAUCAUUUGUAUCAACUCCAAUGAUGAUCGACGAUCCCUGAUUGCGAUUAGCCUGAAAAUAUUCCCUGGAUUGAUUUUCCAUUAUUAUUUGCUAUAUUACUGUGACCUGUAAGUAGCCCGCUAUUUUACCUGUAAAAAUGAAACCCUCGUGUUUGUCUCAGAAGAGCGCUCCAAUCAGUGCCCAGGUUCCUUGUAGCCCCCGUCGUAUUCAAACAACCCGAUGUUUAGAGACUAAAUCUGCGCUACCAGAUCUCUGAAACUUUUAGGUGGUCCUGAUCAAGUAGGAUAAAUGUGAUUGUUGGCCAAACAUAAUUGUAUAUGUUUUAGCUGAGCUGAACGGAACUAAAUAGUAUAUUUUCAUACUGGAACUUUAAGCUGAAUUGGCUUUACAAAAUAAUAAUUGGCUUUUGUAAGAGACAGCUAAGUAUUCGAGUUUCGGAUAGAGUAAGCUUUUACUCUGAAAUAUUAUAUUUUUUGCAUGCGGUGGACUUCAAAUUACAGGGCCAUGCCGAUUGGUCGCAGCAUAGCCCAAUUUAUAAAUUGUUGAACGUUUGGAAAGAUAGCUUCCAUUAAUCUCGCUGUCGCGACUUUGCACCGACAAAUGGGAAUAAACUCUUCCAUUGAUAAGCUAUUUUUUAUUGCUCUAAGUGCACCGCAAAAAUAUCUCGUCUAAACUAAAGCUACACUAAUGUUUGUCCUCUCAUGAGAGUAAAAAGAUCCUUUCCUACUGGAAUGCGUCAUAAAUUGGUGGCGAGUCCUUGUGAAUCCCUUGUAUAUUACAAUAGGAUAUAAGUACGUAUAUAUUGUCUCUGAUGUAGAGAUCCUCUGGCUGUAAUGUGAUUCCUUUGAUGUAAAAUACACUAACCAAUAAACAAAAGUUAGGAGAUAUUAA